rnacentral:rRNA from 1 species
UACGUAGGGUGCAAGCGUUAAUCAGAAUUACUGGGCGUAAAGCGUGCGCAGGCGGCUUUGCAAGACAGAUGUGAAAUCCCCGGGCUUAACCUGGGAACUGCAUUUGUGACUGCAUGGCUGGAGUGCGGCAGAGGGGGAUGGAAUUCCGCGUGUAGCAGUGAAAUGCGUAGAUAUGCGGAGGAACACCGAUGGCGAAGGCAAUCCCCUGGGCCUGCACUGACGCUCAUGCACGAAAGCGUGGGGAGCAAACAGG